GAUGAACGCUGGCGGCGUGCCUAACACAUGCAAGUCGAACGGAGUCGCUUUGGAAAUCUCUUCGGAGAUGGAAUUCUCGACUUAGUGGCGGACGGGUGAGUAACGCGUGAGCAAUCUGCCUUUAAGAGGGGGAUAACAGUCGGAAACGGCUGCUAAUACCGCAUAAAGCAUUAAAUUCGCAUGUUUUUGAUGCCAAAGGAGCAAUCCGCUUUUAGAUGAGCUCGCGUCUGAUUAGCUAGUUGGCGGGGUAACGGCCCACCAAGGCGACGAUCAGUAGCCGGACUGAGAGGUUGAACGGCCACAUUGGGACUGAGACACGGCCCAGACUCCUACGGGAGGCAGCAGUGGGGAAUAUUGCGCAAUGGGGGAAACCCUGACGCAGCAACGCCGCGUGAUUGAAGAAGGCCUUCGGGUUGUAAAGAUCUUUAAUCAGGGACGAAACAAAUGACGGUACCUGAAGAAUAAGCUCCGGCUAACUACGUG
rnacentral:rRNA from 1 species